UGUAAAGCUAGGCUGUUUUUAUUUUAUAUAUUUCGCAAUUUUUCAUUGGCCUCUGUAUGAAAUGACCUACAUUUACAAUACGUAUUAAAUAUGUGGAUUUGAAAUCAUAUACAAUAAGAUAAAUAAGUAGCUUUAG